rnacentral:piRNA from 2 species
UCAUUGGUGUCUCUGGAGAGAGAUGGACACA